ensembl:snoRNA
GUCCAGCCUCUGAUGCAGCCUAGUUAGUAGGAACAUCUGAGUCGUAAUGAAUGCCAGCAACUCUGUUGAGAAAAC